rnacentral:lncRNA from 1 species
AAGGCAUUUAUUUUUUCAUAUAACACAUUCUUGGGGUUUGGAGCCAACCGCCUCCAGGGAGGGUCACAAAUCCACUCAAUGCCCCCGACAACUCUGGUUUAUGUUUGAAGGUCAGCUUCAGCUGAAAGAUGAGUAAAACUGUGGUGAAGUCAGAUGUUCCCUGGUGGCGCUGGGGCCUAGGGGCACAGAUUAUUUCAACAAGGCUGCAUGAAAAAGUCCAGUUCAGAACAUUUGCUUCAGAUGGAUUCACCUGUUCAAGGCAGCCAGAGGAACAAAACCUGUCCACUGGGCUAAAUCCUUCCCAUGGCACUCACCUGGCGCCUUUACCUGGCCACCGCUCUUCUGGAAGGGCUUGUGGGGCUGCGCGGAGAGGGAGUGAGGUGGCCUUCCCUUUUCCUUUUCUCCAGUGAAUAAAGUAUUGCUACUUACCCAGGUUUUCUCCUGCCGCUAGGAGAGCCAGUCGGGACCCAGGGUGUCCAAUCAGGCCACCAAAGCUCCGCACUACUCGCAAAGACAAUUAUUCCAGGGGGGCUUCUGACAGUGGGAAAAGAGAAUUAAUUAAGUCUCCCUGUAUGUUCUAGAGCUAGUGUGGUUAUGCCUUCUCUCAGAGCCUCGUAAAUUUGGAAUAGUGAUGUAUUAUUAGAGAUUUUCGUGGAGUUCUAGAACUGAAGGGUCUUUAAGCGAUCAUGUAGCCAAGCAACUUCCUUUCAUAAAGACGAGAACAAGCCCAGAGAGGCUGUGUGACAGAUUGGAGCCUACACCAGGCUCUGAGAGCAGUACCGAGGCGACGUGACCUCCUUGUGACCACAAAUCCCCGCCAGGCUGUCCAGAAGCAAUACAUUCUCCUGACCUGCGGGGCCUGCCAGCGUGCAUCGGGGAUCGGAGCGCACUCUGAAAGCCAGAAGGGGACGAUGAGAGGCCAAGAUGGGAAGUGCAUCACGUGCAACUUCUCUCACAACACAUGCAGGGCCAAGCUGUUGCAGGUGCAGGGGAAGUCCCGCCUAGGUUUUCUCACCGCGUCCGCAGCCCUCAAUCGUCCCGCCUCUCCUCCGCACAGUGGGGAGCCCAGGCCUCUGGAUGCCCGCAGCCAGGAGGGGAUUUUCAUUUCCACCCUGCGCAGCGCCCUCCCCGGAGCCCCGAGCAGAAAGCGGCCCAGGCCCAGCCGCUGGAGCGAUCGCAGCCUCACAAGUAUUUCUGUGCCACGAGGAUCCGGUGGCUCAAUAAACAGAAGCCCCCGGGAGGGUCCCCUGUGCUGAAGCUCCCCACGCCGCGCGCCCAGGCCUGGCGAACCCCGGGGGUUUGGCUCCAGCUCUGCAGAGGCCCCCCCUGCCCCCNCGCCCCCAACUCUAAUGUCCCAGCAUGA